UUAGUCGAUAUUGGCCUCAUUUGGUAACUUUUCGUCUGCUCAAGCGUGCGCCUGCGCCGUCGCCGUCGCCUCCGCCUUGGCGCCGCCGUUAUAUCCUCACCUGUUCUAUGCCAAUCUCCGCUGGCCUCUGCAAGGUAACGCCAUUACUCGGAGCAUUCCUAGGAGUUUCGAAUCUGAUAGAUGUUUGGAUUUGGGAGAGCUGCUCAUCUUGUAGUUUUUGUUGAAAUGCUUGAGCCGAGGUUCUUUUCCUGCAGCUAUACAAAACCCUAAGGCUAACAAAAAGUUACGAACAGAGGAAGAAGAGAAUGCGAAAACAGGAAUGAUCUUAGCACUGAGGAAUUGUAACCUUUUAAUGCUUACCUGUGGUUCUCCAACCCAGCGAAAGGGUAUGGAGGUGAGACCCAGCAUCUGAGCAUGGACGCUCUCAUGCCACCAGUCGCUUAAGAGGAGACUGAGCUCCCCAUCGUAGUGGAAGGGCUCUUCCUCACCAUCUGCCUUGUCCACUAUGAGAGAACCAUAGAGCCCUGCUGCUCUCUGCAUGCCGUAAUGCCCGUGGUAGAAAGCAACGGUAAAGACUGCAAGAUAAGAGUGGAGAUUUGCUUAGACUUGAUGUAUGACCACAUAAGCAUACCUGUUUGAUACCAUGCCAAUGGAUGACAACACCUUCGGUGGGCAGACUAUUCUUGAGCUCGACAACAAUGGUGUCACCGGCCUUUGCACGAAUAGUCGGACCUGGAAACCUCCCAUUGAUCCCGAUCAUCAUCCUCUCCUCGCAGUCAGGUUAGCAACCAAGGUGCAGCCAAUGAACAGGUAUAAAAGAAGCCUCUUCUCCAUACUUAAGCUUUAACUUAACACUUAUCUAGCUUAAGAGCAUUGGACAAAGAAGAGUUGGGAGAUAGGAAAAAAGAUGGAAGGUUAGUGGAGUAUUUAUAGUACAGAAAUGAUCUUUGAAAGUAGAUUUCUUCAGAAAAGCAAGUUUUUUUUUCUUUUGCAUUUAUUUUCCUUCUGCUCAACUUUUGUGCAUAGGUGGCUCUAUGUUUUUGAUGCUUGUAUAUAUUCUUCUUUUUCACCCCAUUGCAGCUACCUAACGGGCGAAAAGAAAAAAUGUUUGUUUGAGUCGUCUAUUCACAAAAUGACCCUUUCCAUCUUGAAUCCAAUGGACCCAGUGAAAUAUAAUAGAAGGAAAUACUAAGGCAUAACCAACCACAAAAGUUCCAUCAAUAUAGAAUCUCAAAAGGAAUUACUGUACCAAUAUAGAAUCUGAAAAGGAUUUCAUCUAUACCCAACCCCUGCAUUUCAAAGGUGUUUAUAGUCAAUCCCAAGAACCCAAGCCUCAACAGAGGCUUCCCUUCUUGUAGAAGCACAAUAUACCAAAACCAAAUAUUUUUAUUUUAUAUUUCUGGGACCUGACAACGACAUUGUUGCUUAGAAAGAUAGAGGUAGAAAGAAUAUUUUUUAUUAAAUUUAAAUAAGAAUUUGGCUCUUAAUAAUAGAACAUAAUGAAGGAAAAAGAUUUAUGUAACUGACCUCACCUAGUAAGACUUGAUGUUAUUGUUGUAUAUUUCUCUUUUAUUGCUCCGCCUUGUUUUUUAUUUUGUAUUUUUCUACAUAGGUAAAGGCAGACCUAAAAAGAUUUUGUUAGAAAAUAUUAGAAAUGAUCUUUUUUAUUAGAUUUAAAUGAGAAUUUAACUUUUAACAGGACACAACAGAGAAAAACGAUUCAUAUAUUCUGUGUUCUUGGUUACUUGUCAGGCAUCGCCAGUAGCAAAAAUUAUUGUGUCCAGACAGGGUAUCGAGCUAUACAGACCGUCUAAUGAUGUGACGCAUUUUUAUUGAUCUCUGGAUACGUUCGGUGUCCGGACACAAUAAUUACUCCUCCAGUAGGAGCCAACUACAAAGCUUUUCGGUAGUUUUGCAGUGCAAUUAUUCUGAAAUUGUCGUUAGAGAAGAGCCAGAACUGGAAGUCUAAGCCUCUAAAUGCCAUUUAUUCCUAUUAGACUCAGUUGUUGAGACAUCUUUGUUUUAGGAGAAUGGACGGCAGAGUUGUUGAGACUUUGAACCUAGCUAGCUUUCUCUUUAGUGGGGGUUGUUGGAAUAUGACAAAAACUGCUUUGAUUAGGUCAAAAAUAGGUCGUCUCCUGUGCAGUAUUAUAUUGAUCAGAUUUUAGUUAUGGAUUUGUUGAAGAGGAUAAUGGUGCUUGUAAAGCUCCUGAAUUUGUUGAUGGUUGGUGGCUGAUCUUGUUGCUUUAAGUAGUUGGUGUAUAAUUUUCCUUGAGAGCUUUAGAGAAAUAAUUGAGUCCACUUUUUUUUUUUUUUUUUUUUUUGUUUGAAUAAACCAUGAAUGAUAGUUAUAAUUCAAGGAUCAAUUUGUAAAUCCAUCAAAGUUUAGAGAUAA